rnacentral:ncRNA from 1 species
AAAGGAGUUGACAGGGACCGACAAGCGAUGGAGCAUGUGGUUUAAUUCAAUGCAAAGCCAAAAACCUUAUCAGGGCUUGACAUAUCGUGAACCCUUUUGAAAGAGAAGGAUGCCUUAGGGAAGGCAGACCCAGGUGGGGGCAUUGUUGUCAUCAACUUGUGCCAUAAGGUGUUAGGUUAAGUUCUGUGGCGAGCACAACCCUCAUAUUUAGUUGCCACGGAUGAUAGCCGGAGGAAGCUGAGGGCGAGACACGUGCUACAAUGGCCGAGACAAAGGAUCGGUUCUGGGAGACAUGGUUGAAUCCUGAUAUAUCGAGAGAUCCAAAACAGUGAUGGCGAUACUUUAUCUGGAUUAGACAAUUCUGAUAUGAAUCAGCACUUUUUCA